rnacentral:tRNA from 1 species
CCAUUAGCUCAGUUGGUAGAGCAUCUGACUUUUAAUCAGAGGGUCAGAGGUUCGAAUCCUCUNACUGGU